GGUUAAGUGACUAAGCGUACACGGUGGAUGCCUUGGCAGUCAGAGGCGAUGAAAGACGUAGUAACUUGCGAUAAGCCCAGAUUAGGUAGUAACAACCAUUUGAGUCUGGGAUUUCUGAAUGGGGAAACCCACGUGCAUAAGCACGUAUCCUUACCUGAAUACAUAGGGUAAGGAGGCGAACCGGGGGAACUGAAACAUCUAAGUACCCCGAGGAAAAGAAAUCAACCGAGAUUCCGAAAGUAGCGGCGAGCGAAAUUGGACUAGCCCUUAAGCUUUACACGCGUUAGACGAACGGUCUGGAAAGUCCGACGAUACAGGGUGAUAGUCCCGUAGUUGACGACGUGUGUUCAGUGAAAUCGAGUAGGGCGGGACACGUGAUAUCCUGUCUGAAUAUGGGGGGACCAUCCUCCAAGGCUAAAUACUACUGACUGACCGAUAGUGAACCAGUACCGUGAGGGAAAGGCGAAAAGAACCCCUGUGAGGGGAGUGAAAUAGAACCUGAAACCGUGUACGUACAAGCAGUAGGAGCAGGCUUUGUCCUGUGACUGCGUACCUUUUGUAUAAUGGGUCAGCGACUUAUAUUCAGUGGCAAGGUUAACCAUCUAGGGGAGCCGUAGGGAAACCGAGUCUUAACUGGGCGUUCAGUCUCUGGAUAUAGACCCGAAACCAGGUGAUCUAGCCAUGGGCAGGUUGAAGGUUGAGUAACAUCAACUGGAGGACCGAACCGACUAAUGUUGAAAAAUUAGCGGAUGACUUGUGGCUAGGGGUGAAAGGCCAAUCAAACCUGGAGAUAGCUGGUUCUCCCCGAAAGCUAUUUAGGUAGCGCCUCGGACGAAUACUACUGGGGGUAGAGCACUGUUAAGGCUAGGGGGUCAUCCCGACUUACCAACCCUUUGCAAACUCCGAAUACCAGUAAGUACUAUCCGGGAGACACACGGCGGGUGCUAACGUCCGUCGUGGAGAGGGAAACAACCCAGACCGCCAGCUAAGGUCCCAAAUUACUACUAAGUGGGAAACGAUGUGGGAAGGCUCAGACAGCCAGGAUGUUGGCUUAGAAGCAGCCAUCAUUUAAAGAAAGCGUAAUAGCUCACUGGUCGAGUCGGCCUGCGCGGAAGAUGUAACGGGGCUAAGUAGUAAACCGAAGCUGCGGCAAUAUACUUUUGUAUAUUGGGUAGGGGAGCGUUCUGUAAGCGGUUGAAGGUGUGUGGUAACGCAUGCUGGACGUAUCAGAAGUGCGAAUGCUGACAUGAGUAAC
rnacentral:rRNA from 1 species